rnacentral:rRNA from 1 species
CUGGUAUGAAAGGUUUGACGAGAUAUUAACUGUUUCAUAAAAAUUUAUAAUAGAAUUUUAUUUUUUAGUCAAAAAGCUAAAAUAUAUUUAAAAGACGAGAAGACCCUAUAAAUCUUUAUAUUUAGGUUAUUAUAAUUUUAUAGAUUUUUUUUGUUAUAAUAAUUGAUAAUAUUUUAUUGGGGUGAUAUUAAAAUUUGAUAAACUUUUAAUUGUUUAAAUCAUUAAUUUAUGAAUAAUUGAUCCGUUAUUAGCGAUUAAAAAAAUAAGUUACCUUAGGGAUAACAGCG